CAAGUCGAGCGGGAUUUCUUUUGGUAGCAAUACCGAGAGAAAUUCAGCGGCGAACGGGUGCGUAACACGUGGGCAAUUUGCCUUAAAGUGUGGGAUAGCUCGGCGAAAGCCGAAUUAAUACCGCAUGUGGCUACUGGAGACAUCUUCGGGACGCUAAAGGUGGCGCAAGCUACCGCUUUUUGAGAAGCCCGCGGCCUAUCAGCUUGUUGGUGAGGUAACGGCUCACCAAGGCUAUGACGGGUAGCUGGUCUGAGAGGACGACCAGCCACACUGGGACUGAGACACGGCCCAGACACCUACGGGUGGCAGCAGUCGAGAAUUUUUGACAAUGGGGGAAACCCUGAUCGAGCGACGCCGCGUGGAGGAUGAAGGUCUUCGGGUUGUAAACUCCUGUCAUUUGGGAACAAGGCGCGUGUAUUAACUGUGCACGCGUUGAUAGUACCAGAAGAGGAAGAGACGGCUAACUCUGUGCCAGCAGCCGCGGUAAUACAGAGGUCUCAAGCGUUGUUCGGAUUCAUUGGGCGUAAAGGGUGUGUAGGUGGCGCGCUAAGUCGGGUGUGAAAUUUCGGAGCUUAACUCCGAAACUGCAUUCGAUACAGGCGUGCUUGAGGACUGGAGAGGAGACUGGAAUUUACGGUGUAGCAGUGAAAUGCGUAGAUAUCGUAAGGAAGACCAGUGGCGAAGGCGGGUCUCUGGACAGUUCCUGACACUGAGACACGAAGGCCAGGGGAGCAAACGGGAUUAGAUACCCCGGUAGUCCUGGCAGUAAACGGUGCACGUUUGGUGUGGGAGGAUUCGACCCCUUCUGCGCCGGAGCUAACGCGUUAAACGUGCCGCCUGGGGAGUACGGUCGCAAGAUUAAAACUCAAAAAAUUGACGGGGGCCC
rnacentral:rRNA from 1 species